CCCUUAGAUGUCCUGGGCCGCACGCGCGCUACACUGAGUGUCUGAGAUACGAGUCUGCCUGGUCCGGCAAGGUCUAGGUAAUCGCUAAAAGACACAUCAUGCUUGGGAUAGAUUAUUGCAAAUAUUAAUCUUGAACGAGGAAUUCCUAGUAAGCGCAAGUCACCAGCUUGCGUUGAUUACGUCCCUGCCCUUUGUACACACCGCCCGUCGCUACUACUGAUUGGAUGUUUAAGCGAGGUUCUCGAACUGCUAGCGACUUAGCUUCGGUGAGGUCGCAGUGUGGGAAGUGAACCUAGCUUUGGUGUCUAGAGGAAGUAAAAGUCGUAACA
rnacentral:rRNA from 1 species